rnacentral:lncRNA from 1 species
AAAGCUGUACUGCAGAAGGAUCCGAGUGGCCUGCGUGCGUUUUGCUACGAGCAACGGAUGUCAGCGCCAUCUUGUAACGGCGACUGUGAGGGCGGCUCCUCACAUGAAGUUAUUAUUAUUUUUUUAUUUUGACUUUAGUCAUUUUUUCCCCCUCACAAUGCGAGUCUGUUUUUGUUGAAUAAAUGCUUCCCCUGUACCUGUUGUGAUGGUGGCAGAUUUUUAAAAAUACCAGCAUGGUCACUUACUGACUUGUAAAUAAUUGUUCUUCUUAUUUUUAGUCACAAGCUUGUGUUUGUCUGUGUAUGGGUAUACACAGGUUCCUCCGGAGGACAGAGGCACGGGGUCCCUUAGAACUGGAGUUCUAGCCAGCAGGGAGCUGCUUAGCAUAGGCCAAACUCCCUCCUCUGCAAGAGCAGCAAGUGUUCUUAAUGGCUGAGCCAUCUCUCUUGCCCCAUUUCUGGGUUUUAAAUGUUAAACCAACAUUGACAACCCUGGGAUUGGCUGGGGAAUGGCUAUGUUCUAUGUUACUUUUAACUAAAAAAUUUUAAUACAUCGAUAUUAGAUUCAUUUUUUUAAAAGAACGACUUUUCCCUCUGUUUGUAUUCAAGACAGGGAGAGCAAUACUUUUCUCUCCCCAUAAACGCUUGCUUUCAUGACCACACUGACACCAGCCUCAGAGUGUACUGAUAAGUAUAUCCUCUCUUCUCUUAACAUUCCUGGAAAAAUUUGAAAAGGAUUGAUGCUAUUUCGUCUCCAAAAGCUGGGCAGGAUUUGCUAGUCCUUCAUUAGGCCCAAGUUUUAUUUGUGGGAAUUUGUUUACAAAUAAAACAAAUAAAAUGUAUGUAAUGGCUGUCAGUGACAUGGAGUCUAUUUUACUGGUUAUGCCAGUAAGACACUAUGAUACCUAUAUGAACAGUGAGACCAAACUGACAGAGUAUCCCGAGGCUGAUACUAUGACUCUACUCAGUUUCAGAUGAAGUCAAAGAUCGUUAGGUGAUGAUCUGUUACACACCCAGCAAGUAACCAAGAAGCUUGAAGUUUAUGUCUUACCUGCUCAGGUUUCUGAAUCUUUUAACCACAGAUGGUUGCUUAAUUCUAUUAAUCAGCAUAGGAAAAUCAGUUCUAAUUCAUUCAUUUAUCCAUUUAUACAAAAUUAUCUAUCUAUCUAUCUAUCUAUCUAUCUAUCUUUAUUUGUGUGUGUGUGUCUGUGUGUGUGUGUGUGUGUGUCUGUGUGUAUGUCUGUGUGUGUGUGUUUGUGUGUGUCUGUGUGUAUGUCUGUGUGUGUGUGUGUCUGUGUGUGUGUGAUACAUGUAUGUGCUGGAGCAUAUUCAUCAGCAGAGGCCAGAACAAGGCUUCAAAUCCUUUAAAGUUGAAGUUCCAGGUGCUUGUGAGCUGCCAGACAUGACGCUGGGAACCAAACCUCCAUCAUCGUCAAUAACACAGGCUGUAACACCGAGAUCUCUCUGGCCCUCAUCCAGCCAUUUCCUUUUCUUCUCUCUCCCUCCCUCACUCUCUUUCUUGAGACAGGGUUCCACUGUACAGCUCUGGCUAGCCUGGAACUCACUCUGUAGACCAGGCUGUCCUUGAACGGACAAACCAUCCUGCCUCUGCCUCCCAAGUGCUGGAUUGAAAGCAUAGGCCACCAAUCCUGGCUUCAUCGGUUCAUCCUUCCUGUCGUCUAACACCAUGUGUAUUUACCAUGAGGUUCUACCAUGGCCCGGGCUCUGUACAUUCAGCACACUCAUUAAAUCUGAGGAUUGAUGUUAAGUUAUUGAAGAUGAGUGUAAAUGUCUCCCAGAUGUGUUUUGUGAGAGAUUUCUUUUCUGCAUAGAUGCCCUGUCUUAUCCAGCGGGCCAACAUUUUUAACAACCCUUCUACAAACAAGCUACCUUCCAACUCAAAAUCACACUGUCUAAUGCUAUCCAGUGCUUAAAAGACUUGCUCCCUGAUGUAGUUCAGUUGGUGCUGACAGUAUAGCCAGCCACACCCUGACAGGUCCACCUGGCUCCAACCUUGGCCCCAAUAUUCCAGCUGCCCCACUAGGCAAGCCAAGACUCCUUGAUGUGGAAUUUUCAAGAAAAUAUUGAAAUUAAAUCUAUGAGACUUCAUUAGUAACC